GAAACAUCUCAGUACCAGGUGGAAGAGAAAUCAAACGAGAUUCCCCUAGUAGUGGCGAGCGAACGGGGAAGAGCCCAAACCGCGCGGGCGUGAUAGCCCGCGGGCGUUGUCCGCGCGGGGUUGUAGGACGUCACUGGGCCGGGCUGCGGACCGGCCGGGAAGUGAGCAAUCCUCGGUGUAGCCGAACUGCCCUGGAACGGCAGGCGAUACAGGGUGACAGCCCCGUAGGCAAAACAGCGAGGACUUCCUGGGUGGCGUUCCUGAGUACUGCGGGACACGAGGAAUCCCGUGGGAAACUGGGAGGACCACCUUCCAAGGCUAAAUACCCUUAGCGACCGAUAGUGCACGAGUACCGUGAGGGAAAGGUGAAAAGAACCCCG
rnacentral:rRNA from 1 species